GGGGAAUAUUGGGCAAUGGGCGCAAGCCUGACCCAGCAACGCCGCGUGAGGGAAGAAGGCUUUCGGGUUGUAAACCUCUGUCCUUGGUGACGAAAAAAAUGACGGUAGCCAAGGAGGAAGCCCCGGCUAACUACGUGCCAGCAGCCGCGGUAAUACGUAGGGGGCGAGCGUUGUCCGGAAUUACUGGGCGUAAAGGGUGCGUAGGUGGCCUUUUAAGUUGGAUGUGAAAUACCCGGGCUUAGCUUGGGGGGUGCAUCCAAAACUGGGAGGCUAGAGUGCAGGAGAGGAAAGCGGAAUUCCUAGUGUAGCGGUGAAAUGCGUAGAUAUUAGGAGGAACACCAGUGGCGAAGGCGGCUUUCUGGACUGUAACUGACACUGAGGCACGAAAGCGUGGGGAGCAAACAG
rnacentral:rRNA from 1 species